UACGGGGGGAGCAAGCGUUGUUCGGAUUUACUGGGCGUAAAGGGCGCGUAGGCGGCGUGACAAGUCACUUGUGAAAUCUCCGGGCUUAACCCGGAGCGGCCAAGUGAUACUGUCGGACUAGAGUACAGAAGGGGCAACUGGAAUUCUCGGUGUAGCGGUGAAAUGCGUAGAUAUCGAGAGGAACACCUGCGGCGAAGGCGGGUUGCUGGGCUGAUACUGACGCUGAUGCGCGAAAGCCAGGGGAGCGAACGGG
rnacentral:rRNA from 1 species